CCAGGGUUACGGGAAAGAGGGCA
rnacentral:piRNA from 1 species